CGAGCGCAGCCCCUGUGGCCUGUUCCCACUCCCUUUAUUGGAUACCCCUCUUUUCAAACUGCCCUGUGAACCUUAGAAGAAAGUUGGGGACCGCGUCAAGUCAGUAUGGCCGUGGCGACCAGGNCUGCGCACGUACUACAAUGCCCAGUACACACCGUUCCGAGACCGCAAGGUGGAGGAAAUCUAUCAAAACUGGGCCCAGUUCGGAUUGGAGUCUGCAACUCGACUCCAUGAAGCCGGAAUCGCUAGUAAUGCCGUAUCAGCUACGACGGCGUGAAUGCGUUCCCGGGCCUUGUACACACCG
rnacentral:rRNA from 1 species